CGAUAGCGCACAAGUAGAGUGAUCGAAAGAUGAAAAGCACUUUGGAAAGAGAGUCAAACAGCACGUGAAAUUGUUGAAAGGGAAGCGCUUGCAGCCAGACUUGCUUGCAGUUGCUCAUCCGGGCUCUUUUGCCCGGUGCAUUCUUCUGCAGGCAGGCCAGCAUCAGUUUGGGCGGUGGGAUAAAGGUCUCUGUCACGUACCUCUCUUCGGGGAGGCCUUAUAGGGGAGACGACAUACCACCAGCCUGGACUGAGGUCCGCGCAUUUAUGCUAGGAUGCUGGCGUAAUGGCUGUAAGCGGCCCGUCUUGAAACACGGACCAAGGAGUCUAACAUCUAUGCGAGUGUUUGGGUGUCAAGCCCGAACGCGUAAUGAAAGUGAACGGAGGUGGGAACCCGCAAGGGUGCACCAUCGACCGAUCCUGAUGUCUUCGGAAGGAUUUGAGUAAGAGCAUGGCUGUUGGGACCCGAAAGAUGGUGAACUAUGCUUGAAUAGGG
rnacentral:ncRNA from 1 species